AAACGUUGAAGUCAAUCAAUGAGUUCCAAAUGCAAUAUUGGAAGUUUUCUUAAAUAUUUUGAUGCUUUUGCAUGUUGUGAAAGAACUUGGUUAGAUGUGAGAAAGGGGUUUAUGAGAUUAGUUACUUACUAUUCCCUUUUUCACUGUCAUUGCUACUCAGUAGAUAUGCUAUGGGCUCGUGUUUCUGUAGAAUAUAAUUCAGAUGCUCUUUCUCUAGAAUAUAAUUUAUAUGUUCUCUCUACAAAUUUGAAGUAAUUUCUACUGUUUUUGCUAAUAAUUUAUAUAUUAUAGAGUUAAAUUUAACACAGUUAAUCAUCUUAAGCAUUUGACUCUGGUGUUCUUAAGAUAUAAAUUCAAAUCCCUAUAAUUUUAUCAUCUUGAUCUUUUCAAUCGUCUCACAUACCGUCUUCAUUUCAUAAUCUUGCCUACUAGCUGCGUAUCAUCAAUGAAAUUACCAUAGGAGUCCACAUGUGGUAAUUAUGGAUCUAGCACGAUAUACUGCGUAUCAUGUUGUUGGAGAUCAUUUUAAAUGAUUAACCAGUCUAUUGGUGGUUUGAGUCUUUCCUUUUGAAUCUAUAGGUUGUUCAAUGGUCUAAUAUUAACUAUGUUUAGAUUUAUGGUAAUUUUCAUUCUUUUACAGCCUUAAUAACCAAGGAAAGGUGUGCUUUGAUAAUCUUUUCUUUCUCUUCAGCAGGUUGGUAAUGUAGAAAGGAUACAUGUAUACUAUGCCCACGGACUAGAUAGCCCAACCUUUGUUCGCCGGUGUUAUUGGCUCCUAGAUAAGACCUUUGAACACAUUGUCCUUGUUCAUUACCGUGAAACACAAGAGUUUCAGAAUUUUCCAUCCACAUCGUUGAACUCAAAUUCUGGUUCUGUCUCUAACCCAUCAACUCCGUGGCUUUUAUCGGAGGAACUUGAUUCCAAGGCUACUCAUGUUUAUUCUCUUGGUGAAAAUGAAUUGUCAGGUGAUACUGGCCGAACCUGUCAAAAAUAAAUGAGUCAUAGUUUGUUUGAUCAUUCAUUUUCUAAUCUUUCUUCUUUAUAUUUAAUUAGUUGUUUAAUUUCUUAAAAAAGAAUUCUGGUUUAUUUAUAGUAUAUUUGGUAGUAUGCAUGCCUCAGCUCCUUUAAUGCAUGUCUCUUACAGUAUAUUUGGUAGUCUUUUAUAAUGUUACACCCUUUUUUUUAAUUCCUAAAACCUUUUAACUUUCCAAAUUUUCAUUCAUUCUUUUAGAAAAUUAUUUUCAU